CCUGCCUCCAGGGCCUCACAAUCUAGCUUCAAGACUGUGUCCUCUAUGUGCAAAUCACCCACCAGGACAGGUGCUCUUUCUUGUCAAGAGAAGGGAAUGUAGACAAGAUUCCCAAUCCCAGGAGCCAUGGACUAGGUGUCUCUUUGAUGUAAUUGACCACAAAGAGGACCAGACAUGUCCCAGGCAGGACAUAUUUUCCUGACAGAGAAGAGACCUGUCCAAGCCUACAGGGCCAAUACCCAUGAAAGCUUCUCCUCCCCACUUGCAGAAAAGAUGUUUGAGGGCAGGAUAGAAAACUUCAUGAUGUCAAUUUUGACCUCCAAAAGCAAAAUCCAGAACUCCCUGCAAAAUGUCAAGGCCUCCUCAACCCCUACUCAGAGGCUCAGUCAUGCUCAGUGUGCAUGCCCAACUGGGAAAGCACAAGGGGAAACUGAGGGUUGGCCAGGCCAGUAAUACCUACCUCAAAGAAGUCACCCCAGGCUCAGGUGUGCAGGUAUGCCUGCCAUUACGGGAGUCUUACUGCAGAAAGAAAGCUCAAAGAAUAUUAUCUGUGUCUAGCAACCCAAUCCCAAGGCACACAGAUAAUCUUCCACAGAAGUAUAAAUGCACAAUCAAGCAGGCCAGUCUAUCUAGAGAGGCUGUCUCCUGAGCGAAUCCCUAUCAGCCCAGACUAGUCACCACAUGUCCCAGGGACCCCUGUCCACUGUCCCAGGCACUGUCUCUGCACAGGUGCGCUACUUGGAAAAGCAAACACUUUCCCACACCUACCCUGAUAGGAAAUU
rnacentral:lncRNA from 1 species